GAGCACAGUCAUAUGAAGCAGUUGGAAACAUGUACAUUCAUUUUGUCUGCUAUUUGGAAGUUGUACUAUUGGGUCAAACUGGGCUCCUUAAGCUUGGUAUAAAUUUCUUUUUCUUGCUUAUUGUAAUGAAGCUUAAGCACAGUUCUCAGUAUACUGCUACAUUGUUGAAAUGCUUAAGGGAAUUGGCUUCGAAUCCCAUACUCUACUUCCUCCUGGCAUGCCUCAGUUGUUCAGAAGCACAUUGUUUCUCUGAUUACUUAAGUAAUGUCCAGAAAGAGCAACCAUGUAUCUGAUUACUACAUAGUCUGUUUGCUUAAGGAGCCGUACACCAUAAGAUUCCUGGAUCUGGUCUAAAUCAAUUUGCCCCCCCCACCCCGCGCCCUAAAAAAACCUGCUCUGAAACUUUUGGCAUACUCAGUUCAUAAAUAACAGAACUGUUAAAACAAUACACUAAUCUCUGAUUGACCUCUG
rnacentral:lncRNA from 1 species